ensembl:lncRNA
AGCGUGUGCCGCUGUGGGCACUGUGUCCUCUGAGUUCCGGAGCUGGACCAGAGAGGAUGUGCUGUCUUAUUUAAAGGGCUGAUUACUGGAUUCCUAAAUGGGGAAAGAAAGCUCUGGGGAACAGGGUCUCUGGCCCUCCAGGGAUUUCACCACAGGAUUCUGACUGCUGCCAUUUUAGAGUUCUGGUUCUAUCAGGAACAGAGUUUGAAUUAAACAGCAAUUGCUCUUUAACGACCUUGGAGCACCUUUUGCCACAAGUGUAUGGACCAAUACAGCCCAGGUGCAGCCUCGUGACAGUUGUCUGGAGAAGUUUCUUGGAAAUUUAUGAGACUUUCAAAACACAAACUGCUCGGAGCCGAGCCGACCUGCUGGAGACUGGGAGAAUCAGAGGCAGGUCUGACCUGGAGCCCAACAACAUGACGACCCCGGUCCUUGCACAUGGAGUGGCUCCUGCCAGUGGGGCUCACCAGCAGCACUGACCUUCCAGGUUGCCCCCAGGUUAGCAGGAGCAGGUUGCUCCAAAAGAUAAAUGUCCCUCUCAGGCUGGGGAUUUAGCUCAGUGGUUCCGCCACCUGCCUCGCAAGUGGAAGGUCCGGAGUUCGAUCCCCAGUACCAAAAAAAAAAAGAAAAGUGUUCCUCUCCUCCUGGGAAGAAGGGAGGUCAGAGACCAUAAUUAGAAUAACAAUGCAUGCUCCUUUCUUCCUUGUUUCCUUCUACAGUUCUGUAUUUGAGCAGACCCCUCCCCAAAGCCCUAUCAAGCUAUCUGUAAAGAAAUUGAUUAAACAGUUUAAGAGCUGGC